rnacentral:lncRNA from 1 species
AACAAAUUUAAUUAACUUUAUUUUCAUUUUCUGACACUGGUGUUACAUGAAGCUGUUGUAAUAUUAUUUAAAAAAGAACAAACAAAGAAACACUAAUAACACUCUAAUUUGAUACACUGGCAGUUAUGUAAUCAUCUCCAGAAAUACAAAAUGUCGCAGACAGAGAGAGAGAGAGAGAGAGAGAGAGAGAAAGAGAUAAGAUGAGACGUCGAUGACAUGUUCAAAACUGGAUAUUGAUCCGUUGGUUAGUGUUUAACAAACUGUUAUUCUGUGAAGUGGAUGGUCAUGUAUUUAAUGUAAUGAACCAAGACAUUGAUUAUUAAUCAUAAUUAUAACCGUUGUGAGUAGAACCAGCCAUUAUCUUAACGAGUAAAUUCUGGUCGAUAAAGGCGACGACGCCGUGGUGAUCUCAUUCUUGCUCACAACAUCAUAAGCGGAAAGUGUAACCUCUCGAAAGAGCUGUUCUUCACUCCUGCUCCAGAGCGUCGGCUGCGGGGUCACUCCGGAAAGCUCCUAUCUGCGACGAAUUUCAUCUCAAUCGAAGGAGAGGGGCUUUCUCCGUCCGGGUUGCGGAUUCCGUGGAAUAAGCUGCCAGGACGAGAUAGUGAAGAUGCCGACGACCGCUCGGUUCAAAGUCUCUCUUGACCAGAAAUGGCCUGAACUCUUUGCAUGAACACCCUCCCUGUACAUAACUCCAUGUCUCCCUACAUGGCCUUGCUCUUUGCUUUUUGAGCCAAAAAAUUAACUUAACUUAACUUAACUUAACCCCCCAAGGAAUUUAAACUAAUUGAAAAUAGUGUUGCAGGAAGGGAAAUGUGUGGGUGAAAGAGAGAGUUAUGCUUUUACUUACUGUAAUGGAAGGGACUAUUAUACAUGAAUUACUCAUUUUGGUCACCUGUAAUUUAUAUUCAUUAGCAGGAUAUAAUUUGUUAUGCUAUAAAAUAAGCUAUUAAUUGUAAAAUAUUAUCUCUCAGUACUGGUGGUGGUGGUAGGGAUAGGUCUGGAAUGGACCAAUGCCACUGAAAGUUGUCCCAGUAGGGAGAGAUAUUUUAGUUAAAGCAGGCUGUCAACUGUAGAAUUAUAUUGCAAAUGAGUAGGGUUAAAGGGUUUGGAAUAAAGAAUUCUACACUCUGGAUGAAAUAUUACAGGCCCUGAUGGCAGACAUGUUAUAAGGAUCUCCAAUUAUAGGGAUCUUGUCCUAUAUAUAUAGUUGUGUUAUUGCAUACCCUGAUAGAGGGGUAUGUUGACCACUUGCAGUUAAAUUAUUGCAUACCCCAGUGGUAGGGAUUUUGCCCUAUCUACAGCUGUGUUAUUGCAUACCCUACAAGAAGGGUAAGUUGACCCACCUACAGUUAAAUUAUUGCAUACCCCAGUGGUAGGGAUCUUGCCCUAUCUACAGCACCCUACAAGAAGGGUAAGAUGACCCACCUACAGUUAAAUUAUUGCAUACCCUAGUGGUAGGGAUCUUGCCCUAUCUACAGCACCCUACAAGAAGGCUAAGAUGACCCACCUACAGUUAAAUUAUUGCAUACCCCAGCAGUAAGAAUCUUGCCCUAUCUAUGGUUGAAUAACAGCAUCAUCAGGUAUGAAUAUGUUCCCAUCUAUAUUUCAAUUAUUAGGUCCCCUGGUAGUAAGAGAUGUUAGUCUGUUCACACAUUUCAAUUGUUACACAUCCUCGUGGAGCCUGUCAGCUCAUCAACAGUUGAUUUAUUACUUAUCCUCGUGGGUAGGGAUGCUGGCUCAUCUCUAUUUGAAUCAGGUAUGGGUAUUUGCUCUAUUGAAUUAUUGGAGUAGUAGAGAUUUUGGUCCUGCACUUCAAUUGUUAAUGGAUCUUUUCAGCUCACCAGCAGCAAAAUUAUGUAGCUUUAGGGGUAGGACGAUGGUUCAUCUACAUUUGAAUUGAAUAUGGGUAUGUUCCCAUCUAGCUACAUCUGAAUUUUUAGAUACCCUGGCAGUAGAGCUGUUGGCCUUUCUACAUUUCAAUUGUUAUGUAUCCUUGUGAAUCAUCAGAUAAUCAACAAUAAAUUUUUUAUGUACCCCUGUACCCUUGUGGGUAGAGAUGUUGCUCCAUUUACAUCUGAAUUAUUACAUCUCUUGAUGAGUAAGUUCUUAGGAGGGUGUGAUAAUAAACAAAUGAUUAUCAUCAGAUAAUCAACAAUAAAUUUUUUAUGUACCCCUGUACCCUUGUGGGUAGAGAUGUUGCUCCAUUUACAUCUGAAUUAUUACAUCUCUUGAUUAGUAAGUUUAUAGGAGGAGCGUGUGAUAAUAAACAAAUGAUUUGGACAUUUAUAUUUUCAUUACAAGCCCCCUUUUUUUUUUUUUAGUAAAAAUGUGGUAUUUUGGUUGUUUGUAUGUUUCAGAAUAUUUAAUCUUCCUCGGUUUGUUUUGGCACUGAUUUUCAUUUUUAUUUUGUCUCUGAUCCAGGAAUUAUUUGCAUUAUUACAAUGCUAAACAUGUCACGUCUAAGCCAUGUGGUUCAUUAGUGGAAGCAGGGGAGGAGAAAGAUGUAUAGAUUUAUACAUAAUCUAUAAUCUAUAAAUUAUUCAUAUUUUCCCCUCCCUCAUGUAAUAUGGUGGUGGGUGGGGGUGAGAGUGGAGGUGAAGUGUGAGUGGUUGAUCAAAAUACUGAGUGACCCCUACAAGAGGGAUGGUCCCUUGUAAUUUUCAGUAUAAUUAUAAUAAAGAUAAUAAUAAUAAUAAUAAAGAUAAUAAUAAUAAUAAUAAUAAUGAGUACUUCUAACAGGCACAAAUGACCCCCUUUUUGUUUAUUGAUGGGGGAAUAGGAAGAGAACAGAUGAUUAUAUCAAGUCCCUUACCCCCCGAUUUAUUAGUACUUUAUUUUAUUAACCCCGCUCCUCUGCAGAAGAAGGAGAAGAGCAAAGCUGACCUGGCAGGAGUUGAACUCAGAUGAAAUGAUAUUAAGCAUUUUUCCUGAUAUGUUAACAAUUCUGCCAGCUCACCACCUUAACAAUAAAAUAAUAAUAAUAAUAAUAAUAAUAAUAACAACGAUCAACAGAGUAACCAUAAGAGCAUCACAACAAACCACAGCACAUACCCAAGGUACACAAAGCUGCGCCCGGUAGUGAAGUGAAAGCAUGUGAUAAAAAUAAGACUACUGAAUGAUAAUAAUUCUUUCUGCUAUAUAUAUAUUUGGGGGGUUAGGGAUUUUCAGAUUAAACCAACUCUGCCUUAAUCUCAAAAGGAUUAAAGUAAAAGUUAGCCUCUGCUGUAUUUCCACUCAGAUUUCAACAUAAAGGAUUGGAAAUAAAUACCAGAAGGCGUUUCUCUGACACUCUAAUAAUUCUGCCAUUCCAAGUAAUAAUAAUAAUAAUAAUAAU